CCUCUCAGUCUCCUCGCUUCCUUGGGCUCCCUUCAGAUUCACAACUGGCCCAGCCAGAAUGAGCCUCCGCCAAGUGCUUGCCAUGGCCGCCCUCUGGGCCGUUGGCCAAGCAGACAUAGAACUGAAGCAGCCUCAAGUCUCUAUCACCAGCCAGGUGGGAACAACGGCACGGGUCACAUGUCAAGUGGCUGGCAUGCGGGACUUUGCUGGUUGGUACAUGCACUGGUACCAACAGAAGCCAAAGCAGCCUUUGCAAUACCUGCUCUUUGUCCAAUUAGCCGGUAAACCUGAGAAAAAAUCCUUAGGUAAGGUAAUGAACAAAUUUGUGGCAGAAAAGAAUGAAGACAAAAGAACAUCAGACCUAACAAUAAACUCCAUAACCCCUGAAGAUGAGGGCACCUACUACUGUGCAUGCUGGGACGGCCACAGCCACCAACUCUCAAUAACAAAUCAUACAAAAAUCCUGCCCUCCUCAGUCUCCCCCCACAUCCUCUUCCCAGGCGGCCGCCUCCUCCUUUCUGGCUCCCAUCCCCAGUCUGCCUGCAGCACUUCCUGCAUGUCUUCUCAAGGUCAUGAGCCCUGUGUCUAUACCAUAUCACUGUCUUGUUCCAAUUCACACAGGUCCCAAACACCCUCCAACACCAUAAUCAUUCACAUCUCUACAGACCCAUAA